rnacentral:misc_RNA from 1 species
GAGUUAGGGUCUCUGGCCCGACCUCCAACCCUCUAUUUAUACUACCGUGUUGCUUUGGCGGGCCGGCCCUUUACCGGGGCCGUCGGGGGCCCUUUCGCCCCUGACCCGCGCCCGUCAGUAGCCUUUUCAAACUCUCUGUUUAACCGUGGUGUGACUGAGCAAACAUGAAAUGAAAAGCAAAACUUUCAACAACGGAUCUCUUGGUUCU